rnacentral:lncRNA from 1 species
AUGAACCAGGCUUUAGGUCACACUCCGGUGAGAACUCCAGUAGGUUCCGGCAACCUACGAUUUGGUAGAAUGGUAGAUGAAAAUUGAAGAUUUGGAGCCUAGCCUUUAGAUACAACAAUAAUGCGAAAAGCAAAGAACGGUAUGUAUAUAUGUAAUAUUGGGUUUUAAACUCUUCAUUUCCUUGAGUUUGGUAGAUGAGUUUAUGAGAUUGUUUUUUUUACAUUAUGAAGAACAUUGAAAGGUCAUGAAGGCCGCUACAUAGGUAAAGGCGUCGUAUAGGUUAGGGCGGCAACUGGCAACGGCAUACCGGGAAGACAAACAGACACAGACGCUGCAUCAUCUUCUUCAACGGUUUAUAUGUAAUCCGUCGCGAAAGAGAAUAUUGUUUUAAUUG